rnacentral:lncRNA from 1 species
AAUUAAUGUAUGUCUUUCUUACUUUUUAGCUGUGGGAAGGUUGGGGAUAAAUAGGUGGAAGGAUUGGUCAGUGGAACAGAUUAGCCUGAUUCAAGUAUGAAUUAGAAAUUUCCAGUUUUUGAAAUUACAGUUUCAAUGCAUUCAUUGUUAUUGUUGUUGUUGUCAUAGGUAAUUCCAGUUUGAGAUGUUGGCUUUGCAAUAAGUUGAUAAACAGUAUGCCUAUAUUUUUUGCUAGGUCUUCUUAGGAAACAUCAGGAGGAAGAUUCUAUGCUUCUACAAAUACACCUCUAAGCCAAAACUUAAUUUACUUUUCCAUCUAUAGCAAGUUCUUUUUAAGGAAUUCUAUCAGUCAGGUUAUCAUCUCACUACAAGGACAAGGGAUGUUGAAGUUCUUGGUCUGUAUUUCCUUCAACAUCUCCAAGAAGCCAUUUUUGAAAAUAGACAUCAUUAUAAUUUGGUUAAUCAGAUAUUUCAAAUGGAUGCUGUACAUCAUAGUUGAGAUAGUUUAUUCAUCUAUUUGCUUAGAAUUCCUGGGAGAACACAGCCAAGUGAAUUUUCCUUGGUUAUGAAGUUCUACAGCUUCCUUGGGAAUCUCCCUGUUCUGCCAGUAGUUUCUACAGAAUAUUUCAUUUUCUCUAAGACCAAAGCAUUAAUUACCAUAAAGAAGCAAACUUAUCAUGACUGACAGUGGUAAUAAAGUGCUGCAGAAUAGCUCUUGAAAAAAGUAA